rnacentral:rRNA from 1 species
AUACGGAGGGGGUUAGCGUUGUUCGGAAUUACGGGGCGUAAAGCGCGCGUAGGCGGCUUUGCAAGUAGAGGGUGAAAUCCCAGGGCUUAACCCUGGAACUGCCUCCUAAACUGCAGAGCUAGAAUCCUGGAGAGGUGAGUGGAAUUCCUAGUGUAGAGGUGAAAUUCGUAGAUAUUAAGAAGAACACCAGUGGCGAAGGCGACUCACUGGACAGGUAUUGACGCUAAGGUGCGAAAGCGUGGGGAGCGAACAGGAUUAGAUACCCUAGUAGUCC